UGCGCAGGCGGACCUAUCAGCCAGUGGUGAAAUCCCGGGGCUCAACUCCGGAACUGCCAUUGAUACUGUAGGUCUUGAGUUUGGUCGAAGUGGGCGGAAUGUAGCAUGUAGCGGUGAAAUGCAUAGAUAUGCUACAGAACACCGAUCGCGAAGGCAGCUCACUAAACCAAAACUGACGCUCAGGCACGAAAGCGUGGGUAGCGAACA
rnacentral:rRNA from 1 species